AGCAGCCGCGGUAAUUCCAGCUCCAAUAGCGUAUAUUAAAGUUGUUGCAGUUAAAAAGCUCGUAGUUGAAUUUCGGGACCAAUCUGCCGGUCGUGCCUCCGGUACGCACUGGCUUUAUUGGUCUCUCCCUUCUGACGAACCAUGAUGUCAUUAAUUUGGUGUCAUGGGGAAUCAGGACUGUUACUUUGAAAAAAUUAGAGUGUUUAUAGCAGGCUCACGCUUGAAUACAUUAGCAUGGAAUAAUGAAAUAGGACGUUUGACCCUAUUUUGUUGGUUUCUAGGAUCGACGUAAUGAUUAAUAGGGAUAGUUGGGGGCAUUAGUAUUCAAUUGCCAGAGGUGAAAUUCUUGGAUUUAUUGAAGACUAACUACUGCGAAAGCAUUUGCCAAGGAUGUUUUCAUUAAUCAAGAACGAAAGUUAGGGGAUCGAAGACGAUCAGAUACCGUCGUAGUCUUAACCAUAAACUAUGCCGACUAGGGAUCGGAUGAUGUUAAUUUUUUUAAUGACUCAUUCGGCGCCUU
rnacentral:rRNA from 1 species